GAAUGCCCUAGUCAAAGGUCCGCNNCACAGGAUGGGUCUGCGGCCGAUUAGGUUGUUGUUGGGGUAACGGCCCAACAAGCCUUUGAUCGGUACGGGUUGUGGGAGCAAGAGCCCGGAGAUGGAUUCUGAGACACGAAUCCAGGCCCUACGGGGCGCAGCAGGCGCGAAAACUUUACAAUGCGAGAAAUCGUGAUAAGGGAACCCCGAGUGCCUGUCGAUGCAGGCUGUUCAUAUAUCUAAAUGUCAUAUGUGAAGAAAGGGCCGGGCAAGACCGGUGCCAGCCGCCGCGGUAAUACCGGCGGCUCGAGUGGUGGCCACUAUUACUGGGCUUAAAGGGUCCGUAGCUGGAUGUACAAGUCUCUUGAGAAAUCCGCCGGCUUAACCGGUGGGCGUUCAGGGGAAACUGUAUUUCUAGGGACCGGGAGAGGUGAGAGGUACUGCCGGGGUAGGAGUGAAAUCCUGUAAUCCCGGUGGGACCACCUAUGGCGAAGGCAUCUCACCAGAACGGCUCCGACAGUGAGGGACGAAAGCUGGGGGAGCAAACCGGAUUAGAUACCCGGGUAGUCCCAGCCGUAAACGAUGUGCGUUAGGUGUAUCGGUGACCACGAGUCACCGAGGUGCCGAAGGGAAACCGUGAAACGUGCCGCCUGGGAAGUACGGUCGCAAGGCUGAAACUUAAAGGAAUUGGCGGGGGAGCACCACAACAGGUGGAGCCUGCGGUUUAAUCGGACUCAACGCCGGGAAGCUCACCGGAUAAGACAGCUGAAUGAUAGCCGGGUUGAAGACUCUGCUUGACUAGCUGAGAGGAGGUGCAUGGCCGUCGUCAGUUCGUACUGUGAAGCAUCCUGUUAAGUCAGGCAACGAGCGAGACCCA
rnacentral:rRNA from 1 species